rnacentral:lncRNA from 1 species
AGCUGAGAGAGGUCAGCAAGCCAAGAGAACGAACCAAUGGUUUCAAAUGAAAGGGAAGGGGCUAUUGAAAAACUCUCUAGAAGGGUCUGCGUAGUCCAAGGUGGACCUUGUCUAGCCCCAAGCUGGCUGCAAACACGUGGCAGUUCUCCCUCUCAAGUACUGUGGUUCCAGCUACUCAGCAGGCUGAGGCAAGAAAAGGAUUUCUCACACUAGAGAGACCAAGAACCUAGCAAUCAUUCAGCGCGCGAGAACAGUGUCUCAAUGAUCCUAAUCUGACACCAAAGGCCUGGCCCUCAGUCCAUGUUGGAGUCCCAAGGAAGGUGUGUCUAACAUUGGUGAAGGGUUGCCGCAGCAACAGAAACACAGACUGGUCAGCAAGCAGGCAGAAAAGCAGUUUUCUUCUUCCAUGUCCUAGUCUGUGGGCUGCCAAGACACUGAAGCCAGGCCGUGGUGGCUCAUGCCUUUAGUCCAGCACUUGUGGAGCAGAUGCAGGUGGAUCUGUGGGAGUUGGGGCCAGCCUGGUCUACAGAGCAAGUUCCAGGACAGCCAGGGCAACACAGAGAAACCUUGUCUCAAAAAAAAAAAAAAAAAAAGAAGAAAAAGAAAAAAAGAAAGAAAG